CUAAAUUCAGACUCAGGGCUGCACUAUCCUUUCAGGCACAGCUGCAGCCCAGGAGCCUGCUGGUAGCUGAGGGGGGCUGCAGCAGCAAGGCAAGAAAACAAAUGCCAGCUGGGAACAUGUUUGAUCUCCUGGAGACACACUCCAGCCAGCUCCAUGGUCCUCAGUGAUCUCUGCAAACCGCUCACACAGCUCAGAUGGGAUUUAGCUGAGAAUCCAUAUCCUGAAGCUGGGUUUCUGAAGUUUUCUUCACACCAGGAUACCAGGAUGGUACCUGCACAACCUAAUUCUUAAGCUGCUGAACUGCAGCUCAGGCCUCCUGGCUCCUCUCUGCCUUCUUCAGAUAAGGAGGGUCACCCAGCCCCAGAUGCCAGUGCUCCCAGACAGGCUGUUCCUGAACAGGCCCUGCAGCAGCUCCUCAGUGCCAGGUACAGCCGCAGGGGAGCAGCUGGUGACAGGGACACAGCACAGGCUGGCUCUGGCUGAUGGAUGCCUCUGGCCACCUUAGCCCUCCACCAUUCCUGGAGGUCCUGGUAAAGCUCAAAGAGGCCCUGCAGCUACGACAGGCCCAGCUCUCAGCUGGCCCAGGUGGUCAGCACCAGGUGGUGGUAGUUGGUUUGAUUUUAAAUCCCUUUGGAGAUUGUUUACAAAGGCUUUGUGGUCCAUGAGAAGGCCCACACCACUUUUAAGGGUGGUGUGGCCAGAGGCAGUGAAUUCCUCCUUGCUUUGGUUGUAGAACUCUGCCUUACAGUUCCAUCCAGGGAAGUGAGCCAAAGACAGCUGCCUCUUCCAAAGAAAGGCCUUGUGGAGGCUGCAUCACCCUCUGAUGUUUUGAAAUUUCCAGUGGACCACAUCAGUCACUGAGAAGUGAGAAGUGGCAUCUAAACUCAACCUUUCACCAAGAAGUAGAACAUCAUCUGUGGCUGGGAUACCAUCUGGUUUCAAAAAUCCCACAUCUGUCAGAAUCCUUUUGGCUCCUAUUAAAACAUAUAUUGACUAA